rnacentral:rRNA from 1 species
GUCGCAAGACCAAAGUGGGGGACCUUCGGGCCUCAUGCCAUCAGAUGUGCCCAGAUGGGAUUAGCUAGUAGGUGGGGUAACGGCUCACCUAGGCGACGAUCCCUAGCUGGUCUGAGAGGAUGACCAGCCACACUGGAACUGAGACACGGUCCAGACUCCUACGGGAGGCAGCAGUGGGGAAUAUUGCACAAUGGGCGCAAGCCUGAUGCAGCCAUGCCGCGUGUGUGAAGAAGGCCUUCGGGUUGUAAAGCACUUUCAGCGGGGAGGAAGGCGAUAAGGUUAAUAACCUUGUCGAUUGACGUUACCCGCAGAAGAAGCACCGGCUAACUCCGUGCCAGCAGCCGCGGUAAUACGGAGGGUGCAAGCGUUAAUCGGAAUUACUGGGCGUAAAGCGCACGCAGGCGGUCUGUCAAGUCGGAUGUGAAAUCCCCGGGCUCAACCUGGGAACUGCAUUCGAAACUGGCAGGCUAGAGUCUUGUAGAGGGGGGUAGAAUUCCAGGUGUAGCGGUGAAAUGCGUAGAGAUCUGGAGGAAUACCGGUGGCGAAGGCGGCCCCCUGGACAAAGACUGACGCUCAGGUGCGAAAGCGUGGGGAGCAAACAGGAUUAGAUACCCUGGUAGUCCACGCCGUAAACGAUGUCGAUUUGGAGGUUGUGCCCUUGAGGCGUGGCUUCCGGAGCUAACGCGUUAAAUCGACCGCCUGGGGAGUACGGCCGCAAGGUUAAAACUCAAAUGAAUUGACGGGGGCCCGCACAAGCGGUGGAGCAUGUGGUUUAAUUCGAUGCAACGCGAAGAACCUUACCUGGUCUUGACAUCCACAGAACUUUCCAGAGAUGGAUUGGUGCCUUCGGGAACUGUGAGACAGGUGCUGCAUGGCUGUCGUCAGCUCGUGUUGUGAAAUGUUGGGUUAAGUCCCGCAACGAGCGCAACCCUUAUCCUUUGUUGCCAGCGGUCCGGCCGGGAACUCAAAGGAGACUGCCAGUGAUAAACUGGAGGAAGGUGGGGAUGACGUCAAGUCAUCAUGGCCCUUACGACCAGGGCUACACACGUGCUACAAUGGCAUAUACAAAGAGAAGCGACCUCGCGAGAGCAAGCGGACCUCAUAAAGUAUGUCGUAGUCCGGAUUGGAGUCUGCAACUCGACUCCAUGAAGUCGGAAUCGCUAGUAAUCGUAGAUCAGAAUGCUACGGUGAAUACGUUCCCGGGCCUUGUACACACCGCCCGUCACACCAUGGGAGUGGGUUGCAAAAGAAGUAGGUAGCUUAACCUUCGGGAGGGCGCUUACCACUUUGUGAUUCAUGACUGGGGUGAAGUCGUAACAAGGUAACCGUAGGGGAACCUGCGGUUGGAUCACCUCCUUACCUUAAAGAA